AAAGGUCCUGAAAUAGAAAAACAUCCAUUAAUUUUUCCAUCAGUAAAACCGAAACGGGUCGUAGCACAAGUCUCACAGUAAACUGGGAUUAUAUACACAAAACAAAACGUUCUUUUUAAUAAAUGGUUGCUUGCCCACCAUUAACAACAACUAAUAAAACAAAUAUUGCAACAACAAUAAUAGUGAUAGUGAUAAUGUAAUAGUGACAUUUUGCAUAUUAAUUUCAGCUCUCAGUUCUAAAUGUACAACUUUUAUGUUUUCACAUUCUCCAUCAUGAACAUACCCAUUUUAAUGUCUAGUCAACACGUGUACAACAUACCCCGCUUACUUGCAAUAGUUUGCUUUUUGGUAUUAUCAUACUGUAUUUGUUAUUAUUAUUAUGUGUAACUGAUAUUUAUGCAUAUGAAUGGCCCAUCAUAAGAACCUGUUAAAUUAUCAUUAUCUAUAAGGAUGUGGAGGUUAAAGAUGCAGCUUUGUUACUUUUAGGUCACGAGUUCGAUUCCCUCCAUGGCUCAUGGGACAUUUAGCAGCAAGCACGUGAACCAUUCAAAUCAAACAGCUACCAGAGCACCGGGCAUAACUACCUGCUACAGAUUAUAAAAUCUUAUAUUGCUAAUGCAAUACUGCUACUUACAGACAGAGACACCAGCUCAUGCGCUUCUGAGCCCCUCUGCAGGCGUGUGGUUUCGUUUGACAGUAUGACAUUACAAUCGCAUACAUAACAGGAGAGCUGCAGGGCCGUGCACACACUUUGACACGAGUAAUUUAUUUAAAACACCGUGUGGUUUGGUUGUCGACUCGUACCCUCGCUUGGUUACCGCAGCAAAAGGCGGUGCUUGGCAUCUGCGUCGUCCGUGGAGAAAGCUGCCAGGACAGGAACUUUAACUGCACUCCCCUGCAGAUUAAAGACCCGACUGCUGCCCUCCUCCUCCUCCUCCUGGGGCAGUUUAAACCUCCGAGGAUUAGUGGUUACUGUGAACGGACAUGGCCGACACUUUAAGGAGACUGACCAAUACAUCUUCCUUCAGUGUCUUGCAGGACAAGCUGGAGAGCUGGCACAAAGACUACCAUGUGAUUUCCUGUGACCAGAAUCUAAACAGAUGUUGUGAACUGAUUGAACUCACUGCCAAGAUCCAGAGCCAACUGUUUGCCAUCCUCAACUUCACAGCUGCUGAAGGGGGACACUAUGCUGGAGUGGACACUCUCAAAACACGACUGUUACCGUGGCUGGGGAAUUGUUUCUCAAUGGCGAGGCCCUCGGUCACCGAUGACACCAGCCUGCAGCUCAUCCAGGACUCGGUGGAAAAGGAAAGAAGGAUCAGAGAGCUUUCCGUCUCCCAUGAGAGUGACAUGCAGAAGAUGGAGACUCAGCUGUGCUCCACCAGGGUACAGCUGGAUUCGGUCAGAGCAGAACUGAUCGAUGCUCAGAAGGAACUGGACGACACAAAGAGCAAAUCGGCAACCACCCUGCUGGCCACUGAAGAUGAAAUAUUACAACUCAGAGCAGAUUUGCGAUCCGCACGUGAAGAGGUGGAGAUUUAUAAAAGGAAGCUGGAUGCCCUUGAUGACUAUGAGCGACAGAUUCGCUUGCUCAGAGAGGAAGUGUCUUACCUGAGCACGGAGAAGGCCAUGCUGCAGGAGAGGUUGGUGAGAAGUCGCUCCCCUAGCCCUUUGCCCAGGCUCAGCCGCUCUUCCAGCCCUGUGAGGAGUGAGUCCCCCACCAGAGCUCAGCUCACUAACUCCUCACGCCACGCGCGCCUCGUAUCACGAUUCAGUGACCUGUACGCUGUGGAGCGCCUCGAGGCCCAGACCCUACUUCGACGAUACAUUGAUGACUUGGAGAUGGUCCAGAAAAUCAUCUUCAUCGCUGUCGUGGAAUCCUUCAAGACAGCAAAACUGGCUUAUCGUCAGUUCAAGCUGCGAGUGAGAAAGACGCUAUCUUCAUCCCACUUUGGACCAGAGAGUCUAGAGGAUGCAGCCGUGGACUAUAUCGUCAGAAACCUGGACCUCUAUGAUGUUCAGACCAGCGUCAAUGACGUGAUCAAUGCCAUGAAUGUCAACCCUCGGAUCUCGUUCCCACCAGAGGUUGACUUUGCCCUCAUCAGUCCCUUGAUCAGGGAGACGUGCAGGGUGGCCUUCGCUAUGCAGACUGUGGAGCCGCCACUUGACGUAGGCUUCGCAAGCGAUGGAGAACUAUACAAUGAGAGCAAAUACCGUCGUAGCUACGACUCUGAGUUCACAGCUCCUCUGGUGAUGUACCAUGUGUGGCCGGCACUGAUGGAAGGGACUGCUGUGACAGUGAAAGGCGAGGCCGUGACUAGAAGAGGCGCUGUGUGGGGUAGAAGCCAAAGCAGGAGCAGAAGUGUCAGCCCUGUGCGCUCUCGCUCUCUCAGUCCAUCUCGCAGUCUUGUAAGUCUCUAUCACACUUAACACUCCAACCGUCUUUUUGGUCAGCCCAUUAUCGCUGAGUGAUGCUGUAGAUUAAUUUAACUCUUUCCACCUAAUAACAUGCAUGCACACUCAUGGUCCCAAGGGCAUUUAACAGCAAAAGAAGCCUGUCUCCUCAGCGCCUCACAGCUAGUCUCCUGUGAACUCUGUCCUCACUGUCAAAGACAAGCAACAAUCUCCAUCUGUUUGUCAUCUGUGUGAAUUAAAGUCUAAGCUAAGUCUGAUUCCAGCAUUAUGGUUAUUCUUUAGCUUGCGCCAAGAGACCAAUGAAGUUACAUUACCAACCAAGGAGUUUACAUUUCAGACUCAUAGACAUGGACGUCAUGGGUGCAGCUGAAAUAACCUGGCAGCUUAACAGCCUUUUUUUUUUUUUUAAGUAUAUUAUAUUUACUCUGAUUUUGAUAGACACUAACAGUAUUUUAGUGACAUAUUCCAGAGAAGAAUCAGACGUACACACUUUCAUAGUGUGAGAUCUGAAAUUAGGAACCGCAUUCAACAAGUAGCCAUCUUUAUAUUUUUCACCAACAGUCUGUGUAGCAGGUGUGUUGGCUGUGGGACAUUAUGGUGCUAAAGAUCAGUGCUAACUUCAUAUCCUCCACUACUUGAAUUACAGAUAUUCAUCAAUAUUAUAUAGUGUUUGCUGUGUUGUUGUUUUUUCCCCCUAUUAUCAUUAUUAUUGGUGCUGUUACUGUUUUUUUAUUUGCAACACAAAUGAGUUGGCUCUAAAACAUUUUUUUUAAGUAACAUUUUUCCAAAUAAUAAAUUGUUUGAUGAAUUUUGAUGAGAUCAGGACCACUAGUGCAUUUUUUUUUCAGUAGCAAUGUUACAUUCACUGUGACAAUUAACUUUAUUUAUUUUUUCCCAUUUAUAAACCGGGUUAUGCAUAAAACUGCUGAUUUUGCAUCCAGUACCACUGUACUGUACCUGAUUUGCCCUUAUGGCUUGAAUGAUGAAUAUGACGAAUCUAAGUGGGUUUCAUUGUGAUUUGAUUUUUGUUCAAAAUUGUUUUUGUGUGAUAAUCUUUUUCUGUUUGUGCCUUUUAUGAUUGCAUUUUAAAGAAUAAACUGCAAGUCUGUAGUUUCCUGCAA